rnacentral:rRNA from 1 species
UACGUAGGUGGCAAGCGUUGUCCAGAUUUAUUGGGUUUAAAGGGUGCGUAGGCGGUUCCAUAAGUCAGUGGUGAAAUACAAUAGCUUAACUAUUGAGGUGCCAUUGAUACUGCGGAACUUGAGUACAGACGAGGUAGGCGGAAUUGACGGUGUAGCGGUGAAAUGCUUAGAUAUCGUCAAGAACACCGAUAGCGAAGGCAGCUUACUAGACUGUAACUGACGCUGAGGCACGAAAAGUGUGGGGAUCAAACAGG